GACGAACGCUGGCGGCGUGCUUAACACAUGCAAGUCGAACGGAAAGGCCCUGCUUUUGUGGGGUGCUCGAGUGGCGAACGGGUGAGUAACACGUGAGUAACCUGCCCUUGACUUUGGGAUAACUUCAGGAAACUGGGGCUAAUACCGGAUAGGAGCUCCUGCUGCAUGGUGGGGGUUGGAAAGUUUCGGCGGUUGGGGAUGGACUCGCGGCUUAUCAGCUUGUUGGUGGGGUAGUGGCUUACCAAGGCUUUGACGGGUAGCCGGCCUGAGAGGGUGACCGGCCACAUUGGGACUGAGAUACGGCCCAGACUCCUACGGGAGGCAGCGGUGGGGAAUAUUGCACAGUGGGCGGAAGCCUGAUGCAGCAACGCCGCGUGCGGGAUGACGGCCUUCGGGUUGUGAACCGCUUUCGCCUGUGACGAAGCGUGAGUGACGGUAAUGGGUAAAGAAGCACCGGCUAACUACGUG
rnacentral:rRNA from 1 species